CCUGCCCCUUAGAGGCAUUGCAGGCGUGGCUGCUUUGUCACAUGUGUGUCAGUAAGUGGCAGAGAGGAGAGAGCCAGUGUCUAAGCUCAGUGUUCUGACCUGUGAACAUCUGAAUGGUUAGCACCCUAACAUU